rnacentral:lncRNA from 1 species
CAGCUUUACAUAUUUGCAUGGAAUGAUGCAAUUCUCUCGAUUAUACAUAAAACAAUAUGAUGUUCAAUAACCAUUAUACAGAAAUAACCCACAAUGCUCAUAGUUCUCAAACCUAUUCUUUGCCUCAGUCUUCCAGGAUAUCUUUUUUCAUUUAGAAAGCCAGGAAGCAACCGUGAUUUCCGGCACGUACGUUCUCAGUGACGAAAUAUUACACCACGUUCAGUAACCUUGCGGGUAUUUAAGCCGGCGCGCGGCGAGGAGCGUCCUGCGCGACCAUUCUUCCCGCCGGCUUUUGAAUUUCAACCUGACCCACGACCGCCAACCCGCCACUCGCCAGGAAGUCCCCUGCAGCUGUCAGAUGUGUGCCCAACUUCGAUGCCAUUAAAUUUCGGUGAUGAUCCGGAUUCAGUGUUGGUUAGCAGGGUAACUCAAAAACCUAUGAACAGAACUGUGGCCCUGAAGACCGUCUCCCUAUUACAGAGGGUGCCCCAUGCUGCAGUCCGCCCUCUGCACCAGCAUGGCCUCGACUGCCGCCAAGUUGGCGACUGCUGCGGCUGAUUUCUGUAUCCGAUCCAUGUUGAUCUUGAUUGAAGACUUAGUAUGGUAAGUCUUUUUACAUACCAUUUCUCUUUUGACUUUAUCAUCGCUUGUAUUUCAUUUAACAUUGACUGUGUUCGCGUGUCUUUAUUACAAUCAGUUACUCAUAGAGUAUUGGGCAGGUCAUUUAACAAAAUGUUUUCAGAUUUACCAGUUUCAGAGUAUAUAACUUGGCAUGGGAAGUGCAUGUUAUCUGAGCUUCUAGUAUGGUUUAUUUGAAUAUUUUUGUUUGAUAUACAGGAAUAAUGGGGCCAACGAAUAUUGAGAAUUGCUUUCACAUUGAGGCCAGUGAAAUUUGAGCAAUAUACUUGGCUGCUUUUCGUGUUUGAAGGCUUUUCAUCUAUUUAAUAUCCCAUUUAUUUGACAAAACAUUCAUAAUAUUUAUGAAAUCUGCAUACCAUUGAAAUUGGCUAUUUUACAGAAAUAUCUGUGGCUCACGUUUCACUUAUUUAUCUCAUUUUUUUAAAUACCAGGAAUCUACCACUUCUCAAAUUCCCUAAGAGUUUGUCUUGUAAGGCAUAUAAUAUAUAAGCAGAAGUCUACCCCCUGAAGAAAUUACAUUUAAUCUCAAUAACACAGUAUAAUCUGCAGUAGGAUACAAAUAGAAAAGAUCAGUCCAUGAGACUGUAUUUAUUCCUAAAAAUAUUAAAGUUCUAUUUGGAAGAAGAAAACAACUUGUAUGUAUUUUUUUUAUCAAAUAUACAGUAUGUCACAUUACUUUACAGUUUCAGAGUAAAUAAUACAGAGAACAUUACACAAAACUGAUAAAGUACAGAAUGUCAAAAGAGUAUGGCAACUAAAGAGAAAUAUAAUAAAUAUAAUGGUCAAAAAAAAAAAAAUAAUAAUAAUAAUAAAUAAAUAUGCAUACAUCAACACAACAUAACAAGCUUGAUUUCCAUCAUUAUAAAUUGGAUGAUUAUUGAUCUUCAUGUAGUAUCUCAUGAGACUGUUAUUCCCAAUUGCCUUUCCUUUCAUCACAAUCAGUUUUUAUUCACUUCCUAUAACACUGGGAAUCUACAAAACACAAGAUGGAAUGGGAUAUUGAAAAUAAAAAUUGUAAACUAUACUCUUAAAAUCAAGUAGUUGUGAAGAAAAUGAAAAAUAGUCAAGAAAACAUUACUUUGCUCAGUAACCCCAAACAUACAUGAUACAAUACAUGUUAAUCUCUUUCACAAAUCAACUAUUCACAAAAGUUAAAACACUUCUUUAAUUAUGCAUUUCCUUUUUAAUAUCUUUUUAGUCAUGCAAGGCCUUGCUUAUGAUUUUGGUAAUUACAACUGCUAAAUUAUUGCUCAGAGAAAAAAAUUAUACAAUGUAAAAAUUAACAAUUUUGGAGAAAAAUAUCUUUAUCAGUGCUUAAAGUUAUCGCAUUAUCCCUUGAAAAUCUACACUACCUGUAAUCUUUCGUGGGGGUCCAUUCUAUUCCCCUGUUAUAUGAUCUUUCUUUCACAGUAUAUUAUUCAAAUGGAAUGACUAAGGUGCUUUUUUCCUUCUUCCUCUGUUUUUCAUAGAGUUCUAGUGCUCAUAUAAUCCUUAUUAAAGACUUCUUUAAAGAAAAAAAAAAA